AUCCCUCAUUCUCUCAGGAUCACCUUAAGGCUUCUUGGAAGUUCUGAAGGCAGCCCAGUGCCCCAGGAUGAGGCUUCCCACGCUGCUACUAUGAACAGUCUGGUCCUGCUGGAUUCCCUCCUCUCCUGACUCCCCAAGACUGGCCACUACUCAGCUUCAACCCUGGUGGCAAAGGAGGAUCCCAGCCAGGCCAGCCUCCCAGCUUCAUUCUUUUGGCUCAGAGAAAGCACAGCCUACCCUAGCACUGACAACAUCCUUGCAGGACCCCAACGGGGUGGAAGUAAUCUGUCCGGAAAAACCAGAAGGUGCCCUGCCCUUCCCCCAGCUCAGCAGGAAGCGCCAGCUGUUCUCACCAACAGCACUCCCUGGAUGGAGGCUUUACCUCCCUCAGCCCCCAAAAGACCAAGCUGUCUGAGAACAGCAACGCUGUGCAACCCUGCAGGGAGCUCUGACCUGACAGCAGCUUGCAGUAAGCAAUGCCAAUUACCAGCUGCGAAGGCUGGGCCUGCUUCUCACAACCCUCCCAGCCCCAAGGUCACAACCCUCCCAGCCCCAAGGCCUCCA